rnacentral:tRNA from 1 species
AGUAAGGUAAGCUAAGUCAAGCUCUUGGGCCCAUGCCCCAAAAACGUGGGUUAAAAUCCCUCCCUUGCUA